CCCGCCUCGCCGCUGCCGCCCAGGACCACAGGCUGGGGGACAAAACCAUCAUUUCUGAAACGCCCUUUUAAAGAAAGCGUAACCCUUACCGUAGAACUAAAUGCGCUGUGCAUGAAACUUGGAAAAAAACCCAAUGUAUAAGCCUGUUGGCCCUUGCUCUCAGAUGUAGUCCACCUACAAUUACAACAAGAGAGGAGGUGCUUACCCGCCCCCCCCCCCAGGUACUUUUAUCCAUUUCCAGUUCCACCUUUGCUUUAUCAAGUUGAAGUUUCUGUGGGAGGACUGCAAUUGAACGAGAAAGGCAAGACUAGACAGGCCGCGAAACAGAACGCUGCUGUGAAAGUCCUGAGAAUCCUGCAGAAUGAGCCCCCACCGGAGAGGCUGGAGGUGAAUGGAAGAGAAUCAGAAGAAGAAAAUCUCAAUAAAUCGGAAAUAAAUCAAGUGCUCGAGAUUGCACUUACAUGCAACUUACCUGUGGAUUUUGAGGUGGCCCGGCAGAGUGGCCUACCCCACAUGAAGAACUUCAUGACCCAGGUUUCCAGUGGGGAGUUUGUGGGGGAAGAUGAAGGGAAGAGCAAGAUUUCCAAGAAGAACGUGGCAAUAGCUGUCCUUGAGGCGCUGAAGAAGCUGCCACCCUUGCCUGCAGUUGAGCGGAUGAAGCCCAGAAUCAAAAAGAAAACAAAACCCAUAGUCAAGCCACAGAUAAGCCCAGAGUGCAGCCAGGGGAUCAACUCGAUCAGCAGACUGGCCCAGAUCCAGCAGGCGAAGAAGGAGAAGGAACCAGAGUACCUGCUCCUCACAGACUGAGGCCUCCCACGCCGCGGGGAGUUCGUGAUGCAGGUGAAGGUUGGAAACCACACUGCAGAAGGAGCGGGCACCAAGAAGGUGGCCAAGCGCAACGCGGCCGAGAACAUGCUGGAGAUCCUUGGCUUCAAAGUCCCGCAGGCACAGCCUGCCAAACCAGCGCUCAAGUCAGAGGAAAAGACACCCAUAAAGACACCUGGGGAUGAUAGAAAAGUAACCUUUUUUGAACCUGGCUCUGGGGAUGAAAAUGGGACUAGAGCCGGAGAGGAUGAGUCCAGGAUGCCUUAUCUAAGUCAUCAGCAGCUGCCUGCUGUAAUUCUUCCAAUGGUGCCCGAGGUCGCCCAGGCUAUAGGAGUCAGUCAAGGACGUCACACCAAAGAUUUCACCCGGGCAGCUCCGAAUCCUGCCAAGGCCACGGUAACUGCCAUGAUAACCAGAGAGUUGUUGUAUAGGGGCACCUCGCCCACAGCCGAGACCAUUUUAAAGAAUAACAUCUCUUCAGGCCACGUACCCCAUGGACCUCUCACGAGACCCUCUGAGCAACUGGACUAUCUUACCAGAGUCCAGGGGUUCCAGGUUGAAUACAAAGACUUCCCCCCAAACAACAAGAAUGAAUUUGUAUCCCUUAUCAAUUGCUCCUCUCAGUCACCUCUGAUCAGCCACGGCAUCGGCCAGGAUCUUCAGUCCUGCCAUGACAUGGCUGCUCUGAACAUUUUAAAGUUGCUGUCUGAGUUGGACCAACAAAGGACAGAGAUGCCAAGAACAGGAAACGGACCAAUGUCUGUGUGUGGGAGGUGCUGAACCUUUUCUGGCCAUGAACCAUUAUAAAAUCCCAAAAUAUAUACUGAAAAUACUGAAACUGCUUUGAAAAUUUGGAAUCUCUGAUACCUCCAGUGAGCCGAGACACAGUGGGUGAAGAACGUGGGCAGUGGUGGUGAAGACGAUGGAGACAUGAGGAGGUGACUGUGGCCGGGCUGGACCAUGCUGGGGUUUGUCGUGACAGCCACUCGUGAGCCAGCGGUCCCCACACAGAAGCAACUGCCCAUGGGGAAGGAAGAGCCUGCCCAGCAGGCUGGCUCCUUCAGAAAACCAGCAGAUUGUGCCCUGGGCUCCACAGUGCUUGGUCUUGUUCUUUUUUUUUUUUUCUAUGUGAGAGAAGAAACAGAAAGCAUGACCUCUUCUGAAACUGGCUCACUCCAACGCUUUGGGACAAACCCUGGACAGCCACGCUGGAGAGAGGCCUUACAUCGGCCCCAGGGCUAAAAGCACCAGAGAAAAUCGGAUGCUUCCUACUUGGCGCAACCGAACUUUCCUAGCGUGCU